rnacentral:rRNA from 1 species
CGUUGUUGGGUAGGGGAGCGUUCUGUAAGCCUGUGAAGGUGGUCGUGAGGCAUGCUGGAGGUAUCAGAAGUGCGAAUGCUGACAUAAGUAACGAUAAAGCGGGUGAAAAGCCCGCUCGCCGGAAGACCAAGGGUUCCUGUCCAACGUUAAUCGGGGCAGGGUGAGUCGACCCCUAAGGCGAGGCCGAAAGGCGUAGUCGAUGGGAAACGGGUUAAUAUUCCCGUACUUGGUGUUACUGCGAAGGGGGGACGGAGAAGGCUAUGUUGGCCGGGCGACGGUUGUCCCGGUUUAAGCGUGUAGGUGUGUGUUCCAGGUAAAUCCGGUUCACUUUAACACUGAGGCGUGACGACGAGGCACUACGGUGCUGAAGCAACAAAUGCCCUGCUUCCAGGAAAAGCCUCUAAGCAUCAGGUAACAUCAAAUCGUACCCCAAACCGACACAGGUGGUCAGGUAGAGAAUACCAAGGCGCUUGAGAGAACUCGGGUGAAGGAACUAGGCAAAAUGGUGCCGUAACUUCGGGAGAAGGCACGCUGACACGUAGGUGAAGUGAUUUACUCACGGAGCUGAAGUCAGUCGAAGAUACCAGCUGGCUGCAACUGUUUAUUAAAAACACAGCACUGUGCAAACACGAAAGUGGACGUAUACGGUGUGACGCCUGCCCGGUGCCGGAAGGUUAAUUGAUGGGGUCAGCGCAAGCGAAGCUCCUGAUCGAAGCCCCGGUAAACGGCGGCCGUAACUAUAACGGUCCUAAGGUAGCGAAAUUCCUUGUCGGGUAAGUUCCGACCUGCACGAAUGGCGUAAUGAUGGCCAGGCUGUCUCCACCCGAGACUCAGUGAAAUUGAACUCGCUGUGAAGAUGCAGUGUACCCGCGGCAAGACGGAAAGACCCCGUGAACCUUUACUAUAGCUUGACACUGAACAUUGAGCCUUGAUGUGUAGGAUAGGUGGGAGGCUUUGAAGCGUGGACGCCAGUCUGCGUGGAGCCGACCUUGAAAUACCACCCUUUAAUGUUUGAUGUUCUAACGUGGACCCGUACCCGGGUUGCGGACAGUGUCUGGUGGGUAGUUUGACUGGGGCGGUCUCCUCCUAAAGAGUAACGGAGGAGCACGAAGGUUGGCUAAUCCUGGUCGGACAUCAGGAGGUUAGUGCAAUGGCAUAAGCCAGCUUGACUGCGAGCGUGACGGCGCGAGCAGGUGCGAAAGCAGGUCAUAGUGAUCCGGUGGUUCUGAAUGGAAGGGCCAUCGCUCAACGGAUAAAAGGUACUCCGGGGAUAACAGGCUGAUACCGCCCAAGAGUUCAUAUCGACGGCGGUGUUUGGCACCUCGAUGUCGGCUCAUCACAUCCUGGGGCUGAAGUAGGUCCCAAGGGUAUGGCUGUUCGCCAUUUAAAGUGGUACGCGAGCUGGGUUUAGAACGUCGUGAGACAGUUCGGUCCCUAUCUGCCGUGGGCGCUGGAGAACUGAGGGGGGCUGCUCCUAGUACGAGAGGACCGGAGUGGACGCAUCACUGGUGUUCGGGUUGUCAUGCCAAUGGCACUGCCCGGUAGCUAAAUGCGGAAGAGAUAAGUGCUGAAAGCAUCUAAGCACGAAACUUGCCCCGAGAUGAGUUCUCCCUGAGACUUAGAGUCUCCUGAAGGAACGUUGAAGACGACGACGUUGAUAGGCCG